rnacentral:rRNA from 1 species
UCGAGGAUAUUUAGCAAUGGACGAAAGUCUGACUAUGUGACGCCGCGUGAGGGAUGAAGGUCUUCGGAUCGUAAACCUCUUUCGAUAGGGAAGAAAACCUAUUCUUAACGGAAUAGACUGACGGUACCUAGAGAAGAAGCCACGGCCAACUCUGUGCCAGCAGCCGCGGUAAUACAGAGGUGGCGAGCGUUACUCGGAUUUAUUGGGUGUAAAGGGCAAGUAGGCGUCUUGACAAGUUAGGGGUGAAAUCCUGCAGCUCAACUGCAGAACUGCUCUUAAAACUGUUGAGAUUGAGUUUGGGAGAGGAAAGCGGAAUUCUCGGUGUAAGAGUGAAAUCUGUAGAUAUCGAGAGGAACACCAGUGGCGAAGGCGGCUUUCUGGCCCAGUACUGACGCUAAGAUACGAAAGCGUGGGGAGCAAACA